UGGGGAAUANUGNNCAAUGGGGGGAACCCUGACGCAGCCAUGCCGCGUGAAUGAAGAAGGCCUUAGGGUUGUAAAGUUCUUUCGGUAUUGAGGAAGGUUGAUGUGUUAAUAGCACAUCAAAUUGACGUUAAAUACAGAAGAAGCACCGGCUAACUCCGUGCCAGCAGCCGCGGUAAUACGGAGGGUGCGAGCGUUAAUCGGAAUAACUGGGCGUAAAGGGCACGCAGGCGGUUAUUUAAGUGAGGUGUGAAAGCCCCGGGCUUAACCUGGGAAUUGCAUUUCAGACUGGGUAACUAGAGUACUUUAGGGAGGGGUAGAAUUCCACGUGUAGCGGUGAAAUGCGUAGAGAUGUGGAGGAAUACCGAAGGCGAAGGCAGCCCCUUGGGAAUGUACUGACGCUCAUGUGCGAAAGCGUGGGGAGCAAACAGGAUUAGAUACCCUGGUAGUCCACGCUGUAAACGCUGUCGAUUUGGGGGUUGGGGUUUAACUCUGGCGCCCGUAGCUAACGUGAUAAAUCGACCGCCUGGGGAGUACGGCCGCAAGGUUA
rnacentral:rRNA from 1 species